GGUGCGCUGAUGACACCCUAAUUACUGCUACAAACACCGAGAAUGAAUGGUGGGGAUGCAAACCUUGGAGAACCGAGCACC